GGUCAUCCGCUUUACGAGCAGUUGCUAGCAGCGCAUGUCGCUUGUUUGAGAAUAGCGACGCCGGUGGACCAGCUGGCUAGGAUCGACACGCAGCUUGCUCAAUCGCAGGAAGUGGUGGCCAAGUAUUCUGUGCUUGGGAACGGUCAAGUGGUGGACCAGAAAGAGCUUGAUCAGUUUAUGACACAAUAUGUUCUAUUACUCUGUUCCUUCAAAGAUCAAUUGCAACAACAUGUGCGAGUUCAUGCUAUGGAGGCUGUAAUGGCUUGUUGGGAGCUUGAGCAAUCGCUGCAAAGCUUGACAGGUGCAUCACUGGGUGAAGGCACGGGUGCAACAAUGUCUGAUGAUGAUGAUGA
rnacentral:misc_RNA from 1 species